AGCCCGAGCGAUAGAGGGUCGCGAGGCGGGCGGAGGAGGCGUUGUGGCGCAAGAGCUGGAAGGGGCUUAGCGAGCGCAGCCUCUCGAGGAAGGUCGUCAGGCACGCCUCGAUUUCUAAGAGGGUAAAGUCCGCAGCAUGCCAGCAACCGGUCUGCACAAACAAGCAAAGCCCCAUCCGUGGGAUGCAGGCAGCACACAAAACCACACACUCUCAGGUCCGUGGAAAAACCUUUCUUCACAGAACCAGUCCCUGGUGCCCAAAAGGUUGGGGAUCUCUGCUCCAUAGUCUUCAGUAACUCUCAGUAAUUCCAACUGCUGUCCAACAGCUCUUCUUAGAAUAGUUAUCAUGCAAUUGUCACAGUCGGUAUUAAAAUAUACCCACAUAGCAAAUAAUGUAGAUGCACAUGAGUUCCUUUGCUUCAAUUACAAAGAAAACAGUCAUUUCAUUCAAAAUAGUAUAGGCCUCAACUGAAGCUAAUCCUGCCAUGCUAUUAAGAAUUUCCAAUUUCCUAAACCCUAGCUGUUUCCAUACUACUGUUCUAAAGGUUUAUACUUUCACUGUGUGACAUACUUUAAAAAUUAUUUUGAAGUGAGGCAAUAUUUUAAACUGAAAUAUUAUUAUAAUUGUAAAUGUUGUUUAUUCAAGUUAAUUACAUCAUAUUUUAUGUCCAUGAAUUCACUGUUAUUGUCUAUUGGGAAGCACAAAGCCUCAUAAUUUUGAAGUAACUAGGUCAAGUUUUCAUGUGAAAAUUAUAUCUUAUUAUGAAAUGGUCAAUAAACAUGUACUAUUUUUGUUUCAUAUCUUAGAUAUAGUACUGAAGUAAACAUCAUCAUCUCCCUACCACUAUUAAAAGAUAAAAAGUAUACAACUGAAUUCUAACCAGGCUCAGCCCUGCUUAAGUUAACCAGUAUUGCCAUCUGUUGAGGUUGGUGUAAGGAAGAGCACAUGUGAAGGUCAAAUGCACCUCCUUUCCCCUUCUUUUUGAUGAGCUCUUCACAUGAAGCAUUGUACUCAGAGUCUUUAAAAAAGCUGUGUGGAAAAAUAAAUCCAAGAUGAACAAAGGAGAUUUAUACUGUGUUUUAUAACAAUUGCUUCAAUUUAUGCCCCAAAUAGCAACAAAAUAAAGUUCUGCAAAACAUUG